rnacentral:rRNA from 1 species
GUACAUGCCGUAUUAAGGCGAAACCGCGAAUGGCUCAUUAAAUCAGUUAUGGUUCCUUGGAUCGUACCUUACUACUUGGAUAACUGUGGCAAUUCUAGAGCUAAUACAUGCAGCAGAGCUCCGACCCUAGUGGACGAGCGCUUUUAUUAGACCAAAACCGAUCGGACUCUGUCCGUAUCUUGUGGUGACUCUGUAUAACUUUGGGCUGAUCGCACGGGCUCGUCCCGGCGACGUAUCUUUCAAGUGUCUGCCUUAUCAACUUUCGAUGGUAGGUUACGCGCCUACCAUGGUCGUAACGGGUAACGGGGAAUCAGGGUUCGAUUCCGGAGAGGGAGCCUGAGAAACGGCUACCACAUCCAAGGAAGGCAGCAGGCGCGCAAAUUACCCACUCCCAGAACGGGGAGGUAGUGACGAAAAAUAACGAUACGGGACUCUUUUGAGACCCCGUAAUUGGAAUGAGUACACUCUAAACCCUUUAACGAUGAUCCAUCGGAGGGAAAGUCUGAUGCCAGCCGCCGCGGUAACUUCAGCUCCGAUAGCGUAUAUUAAAGUUGUUGCGGUUAAAAAGCUCGUAGUUGGAUCUCAGUUCCAGACGGGUGGUCCUCCAAUCGGGGGUUACUGCCUGUUCUGAACAGCCAGCCGGUUUCUCUUGAUGAUCUUCACCGGUUGUCUUGGGUGACCGGCAAGUUUACUUUGAAAAAAUUAGAGUGCUCAAUGCAGGCGUGACGCCUGAAUAAUGGUGCAUGGAAUAAUGGAAUAGGACCUCAGUUCUAUUUUGUUGGUUUUCGGAACACGAGGUAAUGAUUAAGAGGGACAGACGGGGGCAUUCGUACUGCGACGCUAGAGGUGAAAUUCUUGGACCGUCGCAAGACGAACUACUGCGAAAGCAUUUGCCAAGAAUGUUUCCAUUAAUCAAGAACGAAAGUUAGAGGCUCGAAGGCGAUCAGAUACCGCCCUAGUUCUAACCUUAAACGAUGCCAGCCAGCGAUCCGGCUGUGUUCUUCAAAUGACACGCCGGGCAGCUUCCGGGAAACCAAAGCCUUUGGGUUCCGGGGGAAGUAUGGUUGCAAAGCUUAAACUUAAAGGAAUUGACGGAAGGGCACCACCAGGAAUGGAGCCUGCGGCUUAAUUUGACUCAACACGGGUAAACCUACCCGGCCCGGACACAGGAAGGAUUGACAGAUUGAGAGCUCUUUCUUGAUUCUGUGGGUGGUGGUGCAUGGCCGUUCUUAGUUGGUGGAGCGAUUUGUCUGGUUAAUUCCGUUAACGAGCGAGACCCUAGCCUACUAAAUAGGCGCUCCGAUCAAUUGAGUCGGACG